rnacentral:rRNA from 1 species
GAUGAACGCUGGCGGCGUGCCUAAUACAUGCAAGUCGAGCGAACAGACGAGGAGCUUGCUUCUCUGAUGUUAGCGGCGGACGGGUGAGUAACACGUGGAUAACCUCCCUAUAAGACUGGGAUAACUUCGGGAAACCGUAGCUAAUACCGGAUAAUAUUUUGAACCGCAUGGUUCAAAAGUGAAAGACGGUCUUGCUGUCACUUAUAGAUGGAUCCGCGCUGCAUUAGCUAGUUGGUAAGGUAACGGCUUACCAAGGCAACGAUGCAUAGCCGACCUGAGAGGGUGAUCGGCCACACGGGAACUGAGACAGGGUCCAGACUCCUAAGGGAGGCAGCAGUAGGGAAUCUGCCGCAAUGGGCGAAAGCCUGACGGAGCGACGCCGCGUGAGUGAUGAAGGUCCUCGGAUCGUAAAACUCUGUUAUUAGGGAAGAACAUAUGUGGAAGGAACUGUGCACAUCGUGACGGUACCUAAUCAGAAAGCCACGGCUAACUACGUG